rnacentral:rRNA from 1 species
AGCAGCCGCGGUAAUUCCAGCCCCAAUAGCGUAUAUUAAAGUUGUUGCAGUUAAAAAGCUCGUAGUUGAAUUUCGAGACCGGUCUACUGGUCGUGCUUUUGUACGUACUGGUAUAAUCGGUUUCUCUCUUCUGACGAACUAUAAUGCCAUUAAUUUGGUGUUUUAGGGAAUCAGGACUGUUACUUUGAAAAAAUUAGAGUGUUUAAAGCAGGCUCACGCUUGAAUACAUUAGCAUGGAAUAACGAAAUAGGACGUUUGAUUUUAUUUUGUUGGUUUCUAGGAUCGACGUAAUGAUUAAUAGGGAUAGUUGGGGGCAUUAGUAUUCAAUUGUCAGAGGUGAAAUUCUUGGAUUUAUUGAAGACUAACUACUGCGAAAGCAUUUGCCAAGGAUGUUUUCAUUAAUCAAGAACGAAAGUUAGGGGAUCGAAGACGAUCAGAUACCGUCGUAGUCUUAACCAUAAACUAUGCCGACUAGGGAUCGGAUGAUGUUAAAUUAAUGACUCAUUCGGCACCUUACGGG